AACAAAUAUACGGGUGCCCCCGUACUGAUGAGGCCAUGGCAGGCCGAAAUUUGUG
rfam:Folsomia candida strain VT population Fcan01_Sc032, whole genome shotgun sequence.